CNUGCAUCAUUGUNAAAAUGAUGCAGGAUCGACUAUGUCGAAUAAAAUUCUAGGUAGAAUUAUGAUAAUGACAUUGUCUGCCUAUGUGUCUUGACCAAAUUACGUGCCAGCAGUCGCGGUAAUACGUAGAAGACUAGUGUUAUUCAUGUUUAAUCGGUUUAAAGGGUACCUAGACGGUAAAUCAAGCCUAAAAUUAAAUGAAGGGACUAAUUUACUAGAGUUACUUAUGAGGGGGUAUUAAAGUACUGCUGGUGUAGAGAUGAAAUUCUGUCAUACCUCUUUUCAAUAGAAAAACAAUGGCACAGGUAUAGGCGAAAGCAUCCCCUUAUGUGAUAACUGACGUUGAGGGACGAAGGCUUUGUGUAGCGAACAGGAUUAGAUACCCCCGUAGUCAAAGCAGAAAAUGAUGAAUGUCAUAGAUUAGAUAAAUAAGUUUAUUCUAUAAAUGAAAGUGUAAGCAUUCCACCUCAAGAGUAAUUUGGCAACAUUGGAACUGAAAUCAUUAGACCGUUUCUGAAACCAGUAGUGAAGUAUGUUGUUUAAUUUGAUGAUCCGCAAAAAACCUUACCACAAUUUGAAUAUUUAUAUUUUUUUAUUGUUUUCUUUUUAAUUUUCUUCUGAUUUGAUUUUUCUAANGAAAAAAAGAAAAAAAGAAAAAGAGGCGAUAUGAUAUAUUUACAAGCGUUGCACGGCUGUCUUCAGUUAAUGUCGCGAGACUUUGGUUAGUUCCAUUAAAUUAACGUAAACCCUUACUUUAUUUUUAUAUAGAGUAGUUCCCCGCUAUAUUGGAUAUGAUAACC
rnacentral:rRNA from 1 species